rnacentral:rRNA from 1 species
GACGAACGCUGGCGGCGUGCUUAACACAUGCAAGUAGAACGGAAAGGCCCUGCUUUUGUGGGGUGCUCGAGUGGCGAACGGGUGAGUAACACGUGAGUAACCUGCCCUUGACUUUGGGAUAACUUCAGGAAACUGGGGCUAAUACCGGAUAGGAGCUCCUGCUGCAUGGUGGGGGUUGGAAAGUUUCGGCGGUUGGGGAUGGACUCGCGGCUUAUCAGCUUGUUGGUGGGGUAGUGGCUUACCAAGGCUUUGACGGGUAGCCGGCCUGAGAGGGUGACCGGCCACAUUGGGACUGAGAUACGGCCCAGACUCCUACGGGAGGCAGCAGUGGGGAAUAUUGCACAAUGGGCGGAAGCCUGAUGCAGCAACGCCGCGUGCGGGAUGACGGCCUUCGGGUUGUAAACCGCUUUCGCCUGUGACGAAGCGUGAGUGACGGUAAUGGGUAAAGAAGCACCGGCUAACUACGUA